CUGAAGGGGAGUUGAGGGCACGCCGCGUGAGGAUGAAAUGCCUCGGGAUGUAAACUUCGUUUCCCCCUAAAAGGGAUGAACGAGCGCUAAUACCGUUCGUGAUGACGGUACCAUUUGUAAGCUCCGGCUAACUCCGUGCCAGCAGCCGCGGUAAUACGGGGGGAGCAAGCGUUGUUCGGAUUUACUGGGCGUAAAGGGCGCGUAGGCGGCCACUGCAAGUCAUUUGUGAAAUCUCCGGGCUUAACUCGGAAAGGUCAAUUGAUACUGCAGGGCUAGAGUGCAGAAGGGGCAACUGGAAUUCUCGGUGUAGCGGUGAAAUGCGUAGAUAUCGAGAGGAACAUCUGCGGCGAAGGCGGGUUGCUGGGCUGACACUGACGCUGCAGCGCGAAAGCCAGGGGAGCGAACGGGAUUAAAUACCCCGGUAGUCCUGGCCUUAAACGAUGGAUGCUUGGUGUCUGGAGUUUUAUAGUCUCCGGGUGCCGCAGCUAACUCGUUAAGCAUCCCGCCUGGGGAGUACGGUCGCAAGACUGAAACUCAAGGAAUUGACGGAUUUCCAUUAUUAUUUCGGUANUUUU
rnacentral:rRNA from 1 species